rnacentral:sRNA from 1 species
GCUGGGCACAGUGUUGCAUGCCUGUAAUCCCAGCGGCUGGGAAGGCUGAGGCAGGAGGAUCAGGAGUUCAAAGUAAGGCGCCAAGCAACUCAGUGAGACCCUGUCUCUA